rnacentral:rRNA from 1 species
AUUGAACGCUGGCGGCAUGCCUUACACAUGUAAGUCGAACGGUAACGGGCCUUCGGGUGCCGACGAGUGGCGAACGGGUGAGUAAUGCAUCGGAACGUACCUUUCAGUGGGGGAUAACGUAGCGAAAGUUACGCUAAUACCGCAUAUUCUGUGAGCAGGAAAGCAGGGGAUCGCAAGACCUUGCGCUGAUUGAGCGGCCGAUGUCAGAUUAGCUAGUUGGUGAGGUAAAGGCUCACCAAGGCGACGAUCUGUAGCGGGUCUGAGAGGAUGAUCCGCCACACUGGAACUGAGACACGGUCCAGACUCCUACGGGAGGCAGCAGUGGGGAAUUUUGGACAAUGGGGGCAACCCUGAUCCAGCCAUGCCGCGUGAGUGAAGAAGGCCUUCGGGUUGUAAAGCUCUUUCGGCCGGGAAGAAAUCGUAUGGGCUAAUACCCUGUGCGGAUGACGGUGCCGGCAUAAGAAGCACCGGCUAACUACGUGCCAGCCGCCGCGGUAACAC